rnacentral:rRNA from 1 species
GACGAACGCUGGCGGCGUGCCUAAUACAUGCAAGUCGAGCGGACUUUCAAGAAGCUUGCUUUUUGAAAGUUAGCGGCGGACGGGUGAGUAACACGUGGGCAACCUGCCUGCAAGACGGGGAUAACUCCGGGAAACCGGGGCUAAUACCGGAUAAUAUCUUCCUUCGCAUGAAGGAAGGUUGAAAGGCGGCGCAAGCUGCCGCUUGCAGAUGGGCCCGCGGCGCAUUAGCUAGUUGGUGAGGUAACGGCUCACCAAGGCGACGAUGCGUAGCCGACCUGAGAGGGUGAUCGGCCACACUGGGACUGAGACACGGCCCAGACUCCUACGGGAGGCAGCAGUAGGGAAUCUUCCGCAAUGGACGAAAGUCUGACGGAGCAACGCUGCGUGAGCGAAGAAGGUCGUCGGAUCGUAAAGCUCUGUUGUCAGGGAAGAACAAGUACCGUUCGAACAGGGCGGUACCUUGACGGUACCUGACCAGAAAGCCACGGCUAACUACGUG